GGCUCGGUGGCGUAGUUGGCUAGAGUGUGCGAUGACAAUCGUGAAUUGUAGCUGCGGGUUCGAAUCCCGCCCCGGGACU